ensembl:snoRNA
UGAAUUCCUCUCACUGCUUGGAGCCUUAGGUAGUGGGAUUUUAGUCCAUCAUAUACGUAAACAGAUGUCUUCACUCAGGGCACCAAGGGGAUGGGUUGGCUGUCCAUUAGUAUCUUCUGAUUUUUGCGGAGUCAGUUACAA